AGUGAACGCUUGCGGCGUGCCUAAUACAUGCAAGUCGAACGGAGUGGCGAACGGGGGAGUAAUGUAUAGCUAAUCCGCCCUACACUAGAGGAAAACAGUGGGAAACGACUGCUAAUACUCUAUAGUGUAGGCUGACGCUAUAUUGUAUCAGCUAGUUGGUGAGGUAAUGGCUCACCAAGGCUAUGACGCAUAACUGGUCUGAGAGGAUGAUCAGUCACACUGGAACUGAGACACGGUCCAGAAUCCUUCGGGAGGCAGCAGUAGGGAAUAUUACUCAAUGGGGGAAACCCGGAAGCAGCAACGCGGCGUGAAGGAUGACACUUUUCGGAGCGUAAACGCCUUUUGUUAGGGAAGCGGUACCAAACGAAUAAGCACCGGCUAACUCCGUGCCAGCCGCCGCGGUAAUUC
rnacentral:rRNA from 1 species